AAUCAUGUUAUACAAAACGUCGUAAGUUAAAUCGUAGGAACAGAGAAGGGCAUUUUUGACCAUUUGCCUACAAAUAAAUCGUAGGAAACUUGUUCCUUCUAAAUAUUUCUUGCUCUUUUCCUUCAAAAUAAUCUUAUCAAUUUCCUACCAAACAAAUAAAAUAAUAAUUUAUUUAUUUAUUCAAUACUUAUAUUAUUAUGAUAAUAAUAUUAAGGUUUUAUAAUUACAAAUUUAGUAAUUUCCUACCAAAUUUCUACUGCUUUUUUCUCUAAGAAAUUUCGUACGAGUUUCUUACAACUAAGUUUCGUAGAAAAUUUCCUACCAAUUUCCUUAGACAAUUAUUUUUGUAAACUAAUCGUAAUUAUUUUGUAGGAAAUUUUUCUUACCAAACUUUUUGUAGGAAAUUUAGUAGGAUAUAUAUCUUUCUUCAUCUUCUGAUCUUUCGACUUUUUCUUAUAACUUAAGAGUUACUUAUACAAUAGUACUGUCUACGCCAUGGAACACUAAUCCAUUCCAUUCCUUUAUGUGGCUCCUCCUUUCAUCCUCUCCUGGGAUCUUUAGCAAAAACAUUUUUUAUUAUAGCUUUUGAUUUCCCCCUCAGCUCCUCUUCAUCCUUCAAAGCUUUCUUAGCAUUCUUCUUCUUCUUUAGAGUAGCCACAACAACCUCCUCAACCUCUUCUUCAGCCAAAUCCUUGAAUAGCACUAAACCAGUAACCCAAUAAUUAAAAUGUAACUUUGUCUACCUAAACCAAUGAUUUGAAAAUUAGACCCUACAUAACUAACAUAAUAAAAGCACAAUCGAUUACUAUAACCCUAAACUAAGGUGACUUCUUCUAGUUUUUGCCUCCAGUGACCUUCUCAUUCUUCUCAUCAUCGAUCUUUUUCUUCUUCUCCUCUUCAUUAGCUAUCUUUUUUUUUUCUCCUCAUAUCCCUCAAUGAUUAGAUCAUAGAUAUGUCUUAUAAUUGAUGGUUUAUCACUCUCUUAAAUGGUGAAGGAUAGUCUCUUAUUCUUCACACUCACCACCAAUUUGACGUAUCUUCCACUUGGCUGUUGAAACAUAUAAUACUACAAAAAAAUGAUUAAUUUCCUAUGGUCAGUUGCGUCAAAAAUUGGUAGGAAAGAGUAUUUUUCUAACAUUUUCCUACAAAAAUAUUGGUAGGAUAUCGCCCGUAGGAAAUCAUAAAUGGUAAGAUUUGGUAGGAAAUUUCCUACCAAAUUUCUACCAAAUCACGUUAUACAAAACGUCGUAAGUUAAAUCGUAGGAACAGAGAAUGUCAUUUUUGACCAUUUGCCUACAAAUAAAUCGUAGGAAACUUGUUCCUUCUAAUUUCCUACUAAAUAUUUCCUGCUCUUUUUCUUCAAAAUAAUCUUAUCAAUUUCCUACUAAAAAAAUAAAAUAAUAAUUUAUUUAUUUAUUCAAUAAUUAUAUUAUUAUGAAAAUUAUAUUAAAGUUUUAUAAUUACAAAUUUAAUAAUUUUCCUACCAAAUUUCUACUGCUUUUUUCUCUAAGAAAUUUCGUACGAGUUUUUUGCAACUAAGUUUCGUAGAAAAUUUCCUACUAAUUUCCUUAGACAAUUAUUUUUUGUAGAAUAAUCGUAAUUAUUUUGUAGGAAAUUUUUCUUACCAAAAGUUUUGUAGGAAAUUUAGUAGGAUAUAUCGAUAUAUAUAUAUAUCUUUCUUCAUUUUCUGAUCUUUCGACUUUUUUUCUUAUAACUUAAGAGUUACUUAUACAAUAGUACUGUCUACGCCAUGGAACACCAAUCCAUUCCAUUCCUUUAUGUGGCUCCUCCCUUCAUCCUCUCCUAAGAUAUUUAGCAAAAACAUUUUUUAUUAUAGCAUUUGAUUUCUCCCUCAGCUCCUCUUCAUUCUUCAAAGCUUUCUUAGCA
rnacentral:lncRNA from 1 species